UACAGAGGUCCCAAGCGUUGUUCGGAUUCAUUGGGCGUAAAGGGUGUGUAGGUGGCGCCGUAAGUCGGGUGUGAAAUUUCGGAGCUUAACUCCGAAACUGCAUUCGAUACUGCGGUGCUUGAGGACUGGAGAGGAGACUGGAAUUCAUGGUGUAGCAGUGAAAUGCGUAGAGAUCAUGAGGAAGACCAGUGGCGAAGGCGGGUCUCUGGACAGUUCCUGACACUGAGACGCGAAAGCGUGGGGAGCAAACAGG
rnacentral:rRNA from 1 species